GGAGGCGGAGGGGAGCGGCGGGGGCGCCUCACCCCACCCAGGCCCCGGCAGCAAGCGGCGAACCGCGGCCUGCGAGUGGGAGGCGCCGCCCCCCCCGAAGCAGCGGCUGCCGGAGGCGGUGGCGGCCGCUCGGCUCCGGGUGCUCGGGGCUCAGCACGACCACGGCUACAGCGGGAACGGGCUCCCCCCGAGGCCCCACAUCCCCUGAGGCUGCUGCUGCCCCACAACUGCCCCUCCCCCAAUAAACACGGGCCCCUCCCCCACCGCGUCCAGCUGCUACUUGUGGGGCUGAGACCCACAUGGGGGGGGAGGGACCCCCCUGCCCCAUAGACCGCUCCCCCCACCCCCCCGAUACCUACCCAUAAUCACCCCAUAGCUGCCCCAUAAGUGCCCCACACACCCCUUAAGCCCCUCCCCCACCCCACAGACCCCUCUCCCCCUUUGCCCCUCCCCCACCCCCCAAAUUAACAGAAAAUUUAUUUUUU
rnacentral:lncRNA from 1 species